AACAAGUGGAAACUUUUAAAAAAUUGUCAAUACUGUUCAGUUCAUCCCUCGGGAAGCUUUUGAAUGAUACACAGAAAACUUCUUCAAGUAUAAAAGUUGAAUUAAAAAAUAUGAAGAAUGAAGUGAGCCAACUUGACUCCAAAAUUUUCAUCGGAGAUAACAAAUUGACAGCAAACCUGACUGAGGCAAACUCUAAAAUUGACAAAUUAUUGUCCAUUAUCGGAUGGUUCAGAGCGAGCAAUAAUCUCUUUUACAAACGUUUCAUUGAUUCUGUCACCUAUGCAACUGCAAUGGCUCGAUGUGAAAUAUUAGGAGCUCGUUU